AAAAAAAAAAGCAAAAAAACUCUUGGCAUAUAGAGCUAAGCAGUGGGAAGAAGAUAGCUUUCUAAACCAUGACCCAAUAGGUCUGAUAACAUAACAUUUAACUGGAUAAAUUACAUAAUUUUGUAUAUAUGUAGGGGGGAGUUGAAUUCAGUUUUGCUGUUUACAGGCUGCACCAAUGCAUUGUUAAAAGAUGUAUAUUUUAGUGAUAAUUGUGAUUAAUUACAAAAUAAUUGCUAAUAAGCAGGUAAAUAAACCAAAUUAUAAUUUAGAGUGCAUCCUUUGUUUAAAGUGAAAUGGAUCUAAAUUGAGGAUAUAAUUUUGAGUUUUAAUCUGGGGAAAGUUCUUUAACUUUUCUGAGCUACAGUCUCUUCACCUGGAGCUUAGACACACCAGCCUGGCAGGGGUAUGUCAGCUGUCUGCUUGAAAGGAGAAAGACAGUAAUCUGUGUGAAAUACUCACCGAGCACCCAACAUAUAAGCAGGCUCUUCAUAAAGUCAUUUUGAGGUAUCCACAAGUAUUUCUUUUUUCUAAACAAAAUUUCUUUGUUUUUUGUUUGUUUUGCUUUGCAAAGGUCUUGCUUGCUAGAAAGCUAUCUGCAUUAAGCUGCUUCUCAUCACAUUAUAAAACUAAGGAUGAUCAUUUUUAAACAAACAAAAGUAUUUAGUUAUCUUUUCAAAGUAAAAUAUAGCUUUCCCUAAACUGUUUUAGGUGAGCCAUGCACACAAUGUGAAAGAAUGAAGAAACCAACAAAACACUUGGUGAAAAUGAUGAAUUCUGGGGCGCUGAUUCAUGUGACUUGAAAAAUGCCAUCCAUUUCCUGAUUCACCUCAAUUCUGUUCGGAACUAUGAAAGAUCAUUUAUGUUUCUGCACUAAUUGACCAAUUUUGUCUUGUCUUUACUUCCCUCCCUAGUGCUUGAAUUUCAGCCACAUCCCUAAGCUGCCAUCUCAGACCAGAGGAACAGGGAGGGGGGCUUUCUGGAAAGAACAUCACCUGGAAGAAAUCAGGACAUGACUGUGGGCCAUGAGUGACCUUCAAAGGAAAGCCGGGUAUCUGUGGUCUUUAAGAUGUGGUAAGAUUGUAUUAAAAUUAUAGAAAAAAACCUCAAUCCAGAAAUCGUGGCCUCUUGACAUUUACAUCUUAACUGCAUUUUCCUACCAAUGAGAUGCAUUACAAUCAUCCUCCAUAAGUGUUCUCUUUUUACCCCUGUUUCCAUUCUUUUAGAUCCAUGACAUUUAAAAACUGAAGAAAUGGAAAGAUCAUCUGAUCAGGCCCAUCAGUCUUUUUCCUAAUGCUAAACAUUGGUACAAAGACGUGAAGUUUGAUGUCUCACUAAGAUUGCCUAGGGCUGCUUUAUUGCUCACCUACUUCAAAGUAUUGGGAAAACAUGAUUAUGGGUACAGGUGAUGCUGUGUUGCCCCCAGACAGGUUUCUUUUGUCAGGUUCUUUUGAUGGAUUAGGAACCUACAAGUGGGGAGAUUUUAGGGAAAUAGCCCCUCCACUUGGAUUUCACCAAAACGUCUUUAGGGUUCUCUUACCCCAAGAAACACGCAUUCCUCUUUAGUGUGGCAGCCCACUCUAUUGGCAAAGUUAAGCAGACCAGUUUUACUAAAAAGGAGCCACCCAGAAACUUAGACAGAAAAUACUUGAGGCACAGAUGAGAAUGAGCACAAAUGUGCAUAGCAAGUGCAGUUUCCUGGCCCUUAAACUGAAGGGCCAGGUCAGUCUGCUCCUCCAGGCACAGCCUGGGACCCCAUCAUGUGCCCCACUCUGCAGUCUGAGCUUCCACUCAAGUCCACCAGGGCCUGCCUCACAUAUAUAUACAAGACCCAAUGUCAGAGUCUGCCUCUGCCCAUGUCUGGUCAGAGGGUUGCACUUUGCCACUGCUACAUGUUCCCAGAGGUUGGCACAGCAUGACCUGGACCUCACCUAACCCAGGCAAACUCUGCUCAUCUUCGAGCUCUCUGGAACCCAUUUCUCAAGGGAGAACCACAUUCCCCCACCUCACAGCCAAGUUCAAGGAAGCAGCCUGGCUAAAGCAAUGACUCAAGGAUACCAGAAGCAGAGCACGCAUUUAAGAAGAUGCGCUGACUCGCAGGAGCAGCUGACUCUUCUUAAGAAGAGUUUACUGAUUCUUCUUUCAGUACGGGCCUUUUAAUAAGAUAUUGUAUUUUACUUCAGCUAUGGGUGCAGACAAUUAAAGGAUUCUAGAAAUCUGAAA
rnacentral:lncRNA from 1 species